GACGAACGCUGGCGGCGUGCUUAACACAUGCAAGUCGAACGGAAAGGCCCUGCUUGCAGAGUACUCGAGUGGCGAACGGGUGAGUAACACGUGGGUGAUCUGCCCUGCACUUCGGGAUAAGCCUGGGAAACUGGGUCUAAUACCGGAUAGGAGCCAUUUUUAGUGUGAUGGUUGGAAAGUUUUUUCGGUGUAGGAUGAGCUCGCGGCCUAUCAGCUUGUUGGUGGGGUAAUGGCCUACCAAGGCGGCGACGGGUAGCCGGCCUGAGAGGGUGGACGGCCACAUUGGGACUGAGAUACGGCCCAGACUCCUACGGGAGGCAGCAGUGGGGAAUAUUGCACAAUGGGCGCAAGCCUGAUGCAGCGACGCCGCGUGGGGGAUGACGGCCUUCGGGUUGUAAACUCCUUUCGCUAGGGACGAAGCUUUUUGUGACGGUACCUAGAUAAGAAGCACCGGCUAACUACGUG
rnacentral:rRNA from 1 species